CCUACGGGAGGCAGCAGUGAGGAAUAUUGGUCAAUGGACGAGAGUCUGAACCAGCCAAGUAGCGUGAAGGAUGACUGCCCUAUGGGUUGUAAACUUCUUUUAUAAAGGAAUAAAACGUGGCACGUGUGCCUUUUUGCAUGUACUUUAUGAAUAAGAAUCGGCUAACUCCGUGCCAGCAGCCGCGGUAAUACGGAGGAUCCGAGCGUUAUCCGGAUUUAUUGGGUUUAAAGGGAGCGUAGAUGGGUUGUUAAGUCAGUUGUGAAAGUUUGCGGCUCAACCGUAAAAUUGCAAUUGAUACUGGCAGUCUUGAGUACAGUUGAGGUAGGUGGAAUGCGAGGUGUAGCGGUGAAAUGCGUAGAUAUCACGAAGAACACCGAUUGCGAAGGCAGCUUACUAAACUGUGACUGACAUUGAUGCUCGAAAGUGUGGGGAUCAAACAGGAUUAGAUACCCCAGUAGUC
rnacentral:rRNA from 1 species